GUUUUUUCAGAAGGGGUGCAACUCUCGCUCUCUUGAAGACGGAAGGGACGUAGCCAGCGGUCAAGGAUGAGUUGAUGAGCGAGGUGAGGAAGGGGAGAAGGUCUCCGGAAAUGGUCUGGAGAAGAGAGGAGGGGAUAGGGUCAAGUGGGCAGGUUGUUGGGCGGCCGGCCGUCACAAGACGCGAGAUUUCAUCUGGAGAGAGAGGGGAGAAAGAGGUCAAAGCACAGGGUAGGGUAGGUAGAUUUGAGGGCUCUACUCCCAGCUACCUCUGUGGUUGGUCCAGAUGAAAAAGGUGACCAGGUGAAGUCAUCACUAGAAGGUACCCAGAAACCACCAGUCUGUCAGGGACCUUCAGAGGUGGACAUUUUGAAUGAUGAAGAUGUCCAUCCUGAGGAGAUGCCAGGUGCAGCCUCAAACCCUGAUGUCAUAACUCAGCUGAACUCUAACCCUGGGGUCCUGGGGACUGUGGCUGAGCAGUCUGUAGCCCAACAAGUGGGAGAAGACCAGAGCAUGGAGGAGAACACACACAGUGGACCAUCCUGCUCACAGUCACAACCCCUCCAGGGAACCCCAAUGGACUUGGCUGUGAAUGCUAAUGAUGGAGAUGGUUACCCUGGAGACCACUCCCAGACCUCCAUCCCCAACUACGAUGAUGAAGUCUGGGAGACCCAAGACCCCUGAAGUCACCCCAACCCUUCAAUCAAGACUGUCACCCCAACCCUUCAAUCAAGACUGUCACCCCAACCCUUCAAUCAAGACUGGCACCCUUACCCUGCCAUCAAGACUGUCACCCCAAAAGCAGAUUUAUGCUUGAUCCAGAAAUGACUUCCGGAGUCUUGCAGAGGCCAAAUCAAGCUCCGUACCGCAUCGCCGUGCACCUCACAAAUUUUGUAACCAUGCGGAGCUCUGUAUAGCUCCGUUUUGACAUGAUUGGAUGACUGUAGUUGGGGGCGGGACUUCCUGGAGAAAUGCAAAAUCACUUCCUUCACAACAGCUCUGAAGCAUGAAUGCCCUGACUUCUGUAGAGGCCGUAUCGCAGUAAUUGCUGUACGGCCAUAUCGGAUUGACCAUGCAGAGCCUUUAACCCUUAAAUCAAGACUGUCCCCUUGACCUUUCACCUUGUCUCUGAUGUUGGUGAGUUAUUUCCCGACAGUCGUUUAUGUUUUCAUCUAAACAUCAACUACCUCGGGCAUUUUAUUUGUACUCUUCUUUUUUCAACAUGGAAAUAAAUGACUUGUUCUACUGUGGAAAUAUAACCCAGGAAAUCGAUAGUUCUUGGACCAUCUUUGUCCUUUUUCAAAUCAAAUUUUAUUUGUCACAUGCUCGUGUUUAGCAGAUGUUAUUGCAGGUGUAGCGAAAUGCAUGUAAUCCUUUCAAGCUUUUAGUUUGACUCUCAAUGAGGGAGCUAUUUUCUGCUCUUAAAUGAGUGUUGUCUCCUGUUCUCUAGAGACGCUGCGUCUGUAAUGUAUUAGACCCUGGGAGGGGAAAGGGGGAUACCUAGUCAACUGAAUGCCUUCAACUGAAAUGUGUCUUCUGCAUUAAACCCCUCUGAAUCAGAGGUGCGGGGGGCUGCCUUAAUCGACGUCCACGGCGCCCGGAGAACAGGUAAUGGAGGACAUCAGGUGGAUCCAGGUCUGGGUGUUGGGCAGAACCCCUAGAUCCUGGGGAACAUCAGGUGGGUCUGGGUGUUGGGCAGAACCCCUAGGUCCCGGAGAACAUCAGGUGGAUCCAUGUCUGGGUGUUGGGCAGAACCCCUAGGUCCUGGAGAACAUCAGGUGGAUCCAGGUCUGGGUGUUGGGCAGAACCCCUAGGUCCUGGAGAACAUCAGGUGGGUCUGGGUGUUGGGCACAACCCCUAGGUCCUGGAGAACAUCAGGUGGGUCUGGGUGUUGGGUAGAACCUCUAGGUCCUGGAGAACAGGUAAUGGAGGACAUCAGGUGGAUCCAUGUCAGGGUGUUGGGCAGAACCCCUAGGUCCUGGAGAACAUCAGGUGGGUCUGGGUUUUGGGCAGAACCCCUAGGUCCUGGAGAACAUCAGGUGGAUCCAGGUCUGGGUGUUGGGCAGAACCCCUAGGUCCUGGAGAACAUCAGGUGGGUCUGGGUGUUGGGCAGAACCCCUAGGUCCUGGAGAACAUCAGGUGGAUCCAGGUCUGGGUGUUGGGCAGAACCCCUAGGUCCUGGAGAACAUCAGGUGGGUCUGGGUGUUGGGCAGAACCCCUAGGUCCUGGAGAACAUCAGGUGGAUCUGGGUGUUGGGCAGAACCCCUAGAUCCUGGAGAACAGCAGCAGUGUUAGAGGUUAGGAGACUGACGUCAACAAGCAAACACACAGGUUACACUUUACUGGGAGAACAUUGUGAUGGAUUAGUGCAGUGUUAUAAAUGGGAGAGAUGUACUUUUUAACACUUUAGGACGGUAUAGCCUACCUCAAACUGGUCCCCCUCUGAGUCCGAGCAGCUAAUCAGACUGAUCUGAACUCACUGCUUCUGGUGGACGGGAUACUUCCUGGGGAGCUCGGACAGUUGACGGUCCUAAAGUCUUUUGGAGGUAAAUUGAGGUACAUUUUUAUAAGCUCAGCAUAACUACAAUUUUUUUUCUCAAAUGUCAACCAGAGUUUAACAUACUUUAUCUAUUGGGCUUCACCAAAGUGUAGGGCAUCAGGGCUUUCAGUGUUUGACAAUUUUAGCCUGUAAAUCUUGGUGGGGCAAAGGGGAGACCAGUUUUUAGAUGCAUGCCAGCAAAGCCACUGCGCAACACUAAACAACACAUUAAUUGCACUAUUAUGGUGACAAGCGGGGCCCACAAACUGUUAAGGAACAACACCUUACCACUGCUACACCUGGCUAUCAGCGGCGCCUUGUCUGGCAGCGAAACAGUUCAUUCAGCCUGUUGGAUUCGUGGUAAACUUUGAACAUUGAGAUAUUAAAGACAUCAUAGAUCAGACGCUUAGUGUAUAAAAAGAGACUGGCUUUAUGUCCGAAGGUAAUGGGUCUCUGUAGAAAGACAGAUGGCUUUGGAAUGUGUUGGGUGGACGGGAGGAGAUCACAGGAUCGCUAUAGGGGAAGCGGAUGGACAUCUGUGGAUUAGGCGAAGGAGGGGUUGAGUUCAAGAGGUCAGGCCAGAUCCCCUGAAGGGAGUAAUAAGGGUUUAGUAUCCUGUUACCCUCUUCCUGUGGAACCAUAAGAUGUAAGGAUUGGAGAGAAGGAGGGGUGUCUAAAGUGGAGUGUAUAUCUACUAGUGGUGGUGGGAACAUGUUUUUGUCUGAAUUACAGCUGUAACGAACCUUUGGGAAGAAUUAAACUUGGUUAAGCUUC